UGUAAACAUUGGCGGGGGCGGGUCUGGGUGGGGCCUAAUCACUCUCCACUCUGGCCCUCACCUCUACUUCACUCCUUUGCUUUGCCCAUAGCACAGGGCGAGAUGGGGCAGGCCGCAUCACCCUGUCAUCCCUACUGUUCUACCUGCCGCCUUGCCUCCUCACCGUCACCACUCGCUAGUCGCUAUCAUGCAGUCCUGCCCUCACCACUACUACUGUUACCGCUCCGUCUCCUACCCCCAUCACCCUCACCACGGCCUCCCCUACCCUCAUCACUUCCUGUCAUCGGUGUCAUGUCUUUUCAGUGUCAAAUAAAGCCUGAUGGCAGUAAAAAGGUGCUUGAGGUAUUUCACAGAAGAAUGGAGACGAGGAAGAGAGAAGGCGUGACUUGCACAACGGAAACACAGGUUCACAAAGCAUUGAGCAUCUCAACCAUGAAGAACAAUGCAGCAAGACCUGGAAGCCCUGAGGUGGAUGAUGUACGGGAGGUGGAGGAGCCUCAGACAGCAGCCACCACUCUGCCCCCAGAAGUGGAGAUCCGCGUUCAGCUCUUUGAUGGGCAGGUCAUCCACAUAACAUCAUCACCCUUGGAGGAAGCAGGACCAGGAGGAGGAGAUGACAAGAAAACAUGUGAGAGUGAGGUGAAGCGAGACAGCAGGUCUGGUGUGCUAAAUGGAGAGGUGGUGGGGACAUUAAGUGGAGGCACAAUGACCCUCCUCACCAGUAAUGGCAAGACUUACAUUCUACCACAACAUCUGGCUGCAGCUGAAGGAGGGAGCUACUUGAUAUCAGGGGAGGUGCUUAACACAGAGGAGGUAUUGCAGGCCACUGAUGUGCUUCAUGACGAACAAAUGUUGACCAUCUCGCCACCACCACCACAGUCAGCAAUGGACUUCACCUCUGUUGCUGGUCAUCCUGAUGCCCUCGCCAUUGCUACAAGUGAGGUGUUCAGUGAAGACUAUGUGUCACUUCCUCUGCACACCCAAGGUCAUUUAACUGAACAGUCAAGAACCUUCAGAUUUAAGACAAUGGAUGUAGAGAACCCUCAGGAAGUACAUAAUAAAAUGUAUACACAGUCAAGAUCAGACUCUCAGAUGAGGAAUUUGCUGAUACCAGAUGCCAGCAUCAUCACAAUCAAUGCCUCAGAUGCUGCCAGCAGUGAUGAGUGCACAGAGAGAGACUCCAAAAGAACUGUGAGAAAGAAUAGUGACAGUGAGACAGUAACUAAGGAGAAGGGCAAUGUUGAAGCACUGCACUGUAAGCCAAAAGAGGGAAAGGAUGGCAGUGACAGGGUAAGUCAAAUACAGCUAGAUCCAUCAAAAUUAGUUGGCCUUUCAAAUAAUGCCUCCAGUAAGAAAUAUACAACAACAAGAGCUUCUGAAGAAAUGAGGACUAAGGAAGUCAGAGUGGGUGAAGCAUGUGUUGCCAAAACUACAAGUGAAGAGAGGAAUGAGAGAACACAGCCAGUCAACUCAGACUUUGUUCCAAAGAGCAGUGCUCAGACUGACGCACAGAAUUUAAGAUUACGGCGCUCUUCUCGGAUCAGAAGAGUGAAAAGGAUUACUGAUGAAGAGGAGAGUGAGCUGACUGAGGAGUCCUGCACUGGAAAGAGACGGAAGGGGGUGAAAGGAGAGGUGCCAGCAGCCCUGUGGGAGUGUGGCAGUUGUGAUGCAAUGUUCAGGACAAAAGUUGGUCGGAAUCGCCAUAUGAAGGAGGGCCAUGCCUUCACUUGCUAUGUAUGUGGCUGGGAGGGUCACAGCAAGACCAAGUAUGAGAUCCACAUCUCCACUGUCCACUGUAACCAGCAGGCUCGCUGCCUCGCCUGCAGGAAAGAUUUUCCCGGCUAUGAGGCAUACAAGCAGCACAUGAAGGAGAUGCAUUCCACCAGUAUUGUGACCUCUACCUCCACAUCCACCAGUAGCUCUGUUGUUACCAACUCCACCACCACCACCACUACCACCACCACUACUGCUGCUGCAACCACUACCGCCACUUCCUCUGCUGCUGUCGCCAUCAAGACAGAGGUGGAGUCAGAUGCUCGGCUGGAGGAACAAAUAAAGAAGGAAGACCAAAGUGAUGUUGUCAUGGAAGAAAAACAUGAUCCUGGCAGUUCAGACUUCAAGGAGAUGAAUUCGUGCAGUGAUCAGAGCUGUCCAUACUGCAGCAAGACCUUUACUCGCCGUAGUCGCCUGCGCAGGCACCUCAACUACCACCUGGGCAACAGAACCUUCAUGUGUAAGAUAUGCACCAAAUGUUUUGUGGAGAAGAGCGGCCUUGAUGCACACCUGCUUACUCACUGCCCCGUCAACAAGGAGUGCUCUCAGUGUGGCAAGGUGUUCAAGACAGAGCGCACCAUGACCCGUCACCUCAGGACUCACCUCAACAUGACCUACACCUGCAAUAUCUGCAACAAACAGUUUCGUCACGAGGAGUCACUGCGGGUGCACAAGUCGGUCCACAAGGAAGGGGGGAGUGGAAAUGUGUGCAAUGUGUGUGAGAAGGACUGCAAGACACCACAUUACCUGCAGCUGCACAUGAGCACCAAACAUGAGGUUGCCAAGUUCAUGUGUGAGCAGUGCAAUCGCUCCUUCAAGUGGAAGCAGAGUUAUCGGAAGCACAUGGCCAUCCACCAUGGUGAUGGUUAUCUAAAGUUCAAGUGCAACUUUUGUCCAAGGUACUUCAUGACCACGUCUGAACUGCGGCUCCACCAGGUUGUUCACAGCACUGAGAAAAAGCACCUGUGUGACAUCUGUGGAAAGGCUUUCAAACACGAGUAUACCCGGGACAAGCACACCAAGACUGUUCACCGGGAAGACCGAGAGCACAUGUGUCCUCAGUGCGGGACUCUCUUCAAGGCCAAGGCAUACCUGGACCAGCACCUAGCACAUGUACACACUACCAAGGAGAGGGUGGUGUGCAAGUAUUGUGGUAAUGACUUCAAGACAGAUGCCAACUUAAGAAGUCACAUCAAGGUGGUGCAUAAGCAACGGAGCCCAAAGUACAGCUGUAAGACCUGCCACAAAAUGUUCCUGGCACCCAAGGACCUGCUCAGGCACUCCAAGGUUCACACUGGAGUGAAGGAUUAUGUGUGCCCAAGAUGUCACCGAUGCUUCUCACGCAAGGACAACAUGAUAGCUCACCUGCGCACCCACACCGUGCCACACCAGGCUCCCAAUCCUGUGUUGGAGUCUGAGGUGGUUGUCAUGGAUGCUGUCAUGCCACAGGCUGACCACCAAGCUCCACCACCUCAGGAAGUGCCUCAUAUUCUAGGUCUUCCGUCCUCAAUUGCUCCAGAAAUUCCCCCAGUUUCUUCCAGCAACAUCAUUCUCUCCAGUGUCCCUACCACAUCUGGGAACAUUGCCCUCUCAGAGUUCAGUCCAGCAAAUAACAUUGUGCUGUCUGGAGAGUCUUCAUCUCAGACCACAGCACUGGCAUCCUCUCCAGCAUCAUCGUGUGUCACCACUAUAACAGAUACUCCUGUCACACCUCAUAGAAUCUCCAUCUCUGGCUUACCUGUGCCUUCCAUGGCAGACAUCACCAGUAUGCCACCAUCAUCCACAGGCAGCAUUAUCUUUUCCACUGUCCCUGUUUCCUCAUUCAAUGUGAGCAGUGUCUCCUCUUCAUCCAGUUCUACAGUUGUGUCUCGUGGAAGUCUGUCAGGCACCUUGGCAUGCUCCACCUCAAACAGUAUGUCAGGCAGCAGUAUAUCCUCCUCAUCCAGCAAUUCAAGUGUUACCAAUCCUUUAGCCUCUUCCUCCAUCUUAAACCUGAGCCCCAGCAACUCACUAGGUGCCUGCACAACUCACCCAAAUCAUCAAACAUACAGCUUUCAUCCUCAGUUAGUUGUUUCCUCACCUAACCAAGUUUCUAAUAUAUCUUCUCUCAUCACUGCAUCCCCUGUUCCAUCAAAUGUCAUCUCUUUGCCAAAGUCUCACUCCACUUCAGGACCAGUCUUUGUGUCCCAGAGCAGCCACACCCAAGUCAUGUGCUCCACACUGCAAGGGGAGCAGGUGGUACUCACUGCUGGCUCACUCGCACCCAUCUCAAAGGUGUCCAUACAGGAUGGCAAUUCUCCGCAGUACAUGCGGCUUGAUCCACUCAGUGCCUCAGUAUGUCCCACUCCAUCAAGCAUUAAUCCUCUCAGCCCAUCUGUAUCAAGCAGUGAAAGAAACCCAGGGGGCACUCUGGCAGAGGACAUGCCACUCUCUACUGACUCCACUCCUCAUGCUUCAUCUGUUGACGUUCCAGACUCUGUGGAGUCAAACAUCAUUCUUCCUACUUCCUCCAUUCUUCAAGAAGCUGCCCUCAUACUUCCAGAAAAGUCAGGCCUAUACACUAUCAUGGGCGGAGGAGGAAAAAUCACCCCCUUGGAGACCCUCACCCUGCAUUCUGUUCCUCCUCCAUCAAGUCACUCAGACUAACUCCACUGGUGAUCAGGACCUGUUGUUAUAUGUCUCAGCAAGUGAGCCAAAGUCCUCACCUGUGGGUAGGAGAGUGGCCGCAGCCUGUCAUAGUCCUCUUGGCCGGCAGUGUCCCACAAGCCUAAACUGACUGGGAUGCUGUCCACUACCAUUGGUGCAGAAUAAUUAUCAAACCUGAAACAAACAAAUGGGCAACUGACUUGCAGGAAUAGAUGGAUAUGAAACCAAAGGGAAACACUCACACUGUGGGCACGUAUUCCUUGGGGAAGGAGUCGGUAGUGUAGGAGAUGAGCAUGCAUGUCUUGCCCACUGUUCCGUCUCCUACCACCACACACUUGAUGGGACGGCCAGAAGACAUCUUCCCUACAUUGGACUGCAGGAGCUGGGGGUCAGUCAACAUGGCAUGGUAAAAUAGUUAUCAGGAAAGGCGUCAGUGCACACUGCAAAGUUAGCAGCACAUCAAACAGCCUAUUCAAGAUGGGACACUGGAGGGAGUCAAGAAGUGUAGUGACAGUCUCAAAAGAGAUGUCAAAAUCAUAAAAAAUUAAUAAAUGCCUUGAAACC